rnacentral:lncRNA from 1 species
GAUAAUCAUACUUAUUAUAUUUACAACGUUGUUCGUGUGAUUACAAUUUUCGAAAGAUAAAAAAAAGGAAAUACACGUGAAUAAUAACUCCAGGGAAGGAGAUAGCCUCAUCAAGGGGGUUGCCUCCGGGGAAGGAGAUCGCCUCAUGAGCAGUAAGCCAGCGGCAUCCAACCGUACGAUGUGAACCCUGCUUUCCAUCCCAGCCGUCCGUCACUUUAUAGACGUUCUCGCCAGCUAGAAUUGGG